rnacentral:misc_RNA from 1 species
UAUAAAAUCGUUAUAAUGAUUAGUAACUUUUAAUUAUUGGUCGAUUUACAGAGACCCGCUGCCCAGCUGCAAGCACGGGAUCGAUCUUAUGGCAUCAACGUUGAAAUGAAGGGUGGUUCCUCUAUCGACUGCUAGAGCGGCGGGCAUAUAAGAUGUCUGCAAGAUGGGUGGAACCGCGUUGAAAAACGUCCCUGAC